GUCCUCACUUCAGCAGCACAUUUGCCAAAAUUGGAAUGAUACGGAGAAGAUUAGCAGGGCCCCUGCACAAGGAUGACAGCCAAAUUUAUGAUGCAUUCCAUGUUUUU
ensembl:snRNA U6 U6 spliceosomal RNA